rnacentral:rRNA from 1 species
AGCGAACGCUGGCGGCAGGCCUAAUACAUGCAAGUCGAGCGCCCCUUCGGGGGAGCGGCGGACGGGUGAGUAACGCGUGGGAACGUGCCCUUUGGUACGGAACAACUGAGGGAAACUUCAGCUAAUACCGUAUGUGCCCUUCGGGGGAAAGAUUUAUCGCCAUUGGAGCGGCCCGCGUUGGAUUAGGUAGUUGGUGGGGUAAAGGCCCACCAAGCCUACGAUCCAUAGCUGGUCUGAGAGGAUGAUCAGCCACACUGGGACUGAGACACGGCCCAGACUCCUACGGGAGGCAGCAGUGGGGAAUCUUGCGCAAUGGGCGAAAGCCUGACGCAGCCAUGCCGCGUGUAUGAUGAAGGUCUUAGGAUUGUAAAAUACUUUCACCGGGGAAGAUAAUGACGGUACCCGGAGAAGAAGCCCCGGCUAACUUCGUGCCAGCAGCCGCCGUAA